rnacentral:lncRNA from 1 species
UCAGUAAUUACAGUUAAAUGUUAAACAACAUGAUGAAAACUACAUGGUUGCUUCAGUGGAUGUUGAUCUUUUUCAUAUCAAGAUUAAACCGAUAUCAUUGGAUGUGGUUUCCUUUGCGUACUAAAGAAUCGACUCUUUCUAUCUAUGGAUGUCACAGUUUUGUUUGCUUCAAAAUCUAGGCUUUUUUCAAAGCCACAAUUCUGUUAAAAACAUU